GAUGAACGCUGGCGGCGUGCCUAAUACAUGCAAGUCGAGCGAACAGACGAGGAGCUUGCUCCUUCGACGUUAGCGGCGGACGGGUGAGUAACACGUAGGUAACCUACCUAUAAGACUGGGAUAACUUCGGGAAACCGGAGCUAAUACCGGAUAAUAUUUCGAACCGCAUGGUUCGAUAGUGAAAGAUGGCUUUGCUAUCACUUAUAGAUGGACCUGCGCCGUAUUAGCUAGUUGGUAAGGUAACGGCUUACCAAGGCAACGAUACGUAGCCGACCUGAGAGGGUGAUCGGCCACACUGGAACUGAGACACGGUCCAGACUCCUACGGAAGGCAGCAGUAGGGAAUCUUCCGCAAUGGGCGAAAGCCUGACGGAGCAACGCCGCGUGAGUGAUGAAGGUCUUCGGAUCGUAAAACUCUGUUAUUAGGGAAGAACAAACGUGUAAGUAACUGUGCACGUCUUGACGGUACCUAAUCAGAAAGCCACGGCUAACUACGUG
rnacentral:rRNA from 1 species